GAUGAAGAACGUAGCGAAACGCGAAAGGUAAUGCGAAUUGCAGAAUCAGUGAGUCAUCGAAUCUUUGAACGCACAUUGCGCCCCUUAGUAUUCCGGGGGGCACGCCUGUUCGAGCGCCAUUACACACCCCAAGCUAAGCUUGAUGUUGGGCGAUGUCUGUCACAGGACACGCCUGGAACGUAUGGGCGCCGCCGCCGGAUCACGAGUGUAGCAAGACGCAAGUCAUCGCUCGGUCGGUCCUGGCGGUUGGCCGCCGCGGCUCAUGGUAACACAUGGGCCAGUAACUUUUCACAAGUUUGGCCUCGAAUCAGGCGGGGAUACCCGCUGAACUUAAGCAUAUCAAUAAGCGGAGGA
rnacentral:misc_RNA from 1 species